rnacentral:lncRNA from 10 species
CCCCUGGUUUUCUUUCCCUAGACCCAUCUAAGGAAUGAUUUACCACCCCUGCAUUUCUCUCCUUGGUAUAUCCUAAUCAAGGAAUGUGUUACCGCCCUGCAGCUUUUUCCUUAGUCCCAACCACAAAGGAAAUACUUUAGCAGCUCUCCCGGUGUUUUUUUACCUCGGUCUGUGCACAGAGUUUUCUGGUUCAUGUGAUAUGUGAGAAUCCUUUACUCCUGGUCACUGGUCAGGUUUUUUGUUUUUUUUCUGCAUUGGUGAGAGUCCAGGUUUAUUUGUCACACUGGAUGGGUCUUGAUUCCUUAUCCCUGAGGCCACUGCAAUGAGGCAGAGGAGCACGCUUCCUCAUGAGAGAGGAUGGGAGACCACACCUGGAGGAGAAGAUGGAGUUUCGCUCGUUGCCCAGACUGGACAAGUGCAAUGGUGCAAUCUCAGCUCACUGCAACCUCUGCCUCCCAGGUUCAAGCGAUUUUCCUGCCUCAGCCUCCCAAGUAGCUGGGAUUACAGGAACCUGCCACCAUGCUUGGCUAAUUUUUUUCUAUUUUUAGUAGAGACCAGGCGGCCUACCUCAGCAUCUUAACGUGUUGGGAUUACAGGCCUGAGCCACCACACCCAGCCUCGUGUAUUUUGGAGAUAGGGUCUCACUCUGUCAACCAGGUUGAUUUGCUGGGUUCACUGCUGCCCGAACCUCCCAAACUCAGAUGAUCCUCUCAUUUCAGCCUCUCAAGUAGCUGGAUUACAAGUAUGUGCCAUCACACCCAGCUACCUUUUUUGUAUUCUUUGCUGAGACAGAGUUUUGCCAUACUGCCCAUUCUGCUCUUGAACUCCUGGGAUCAAGUGAUCAGCCUACCUUGGCCUUACAAAGUCCUACGAUUACAUUUCAUUUUAUUAAAUAGUUUAAUUAAUUUAUAUUUAAAAUGAUUGCUUAAAGAAAUGAAGUUGUUAUUGCCAGUUAUAUUGUUAUUGUUUUAUGUGUUUUUAGUAGUAUAUUUCCCUCAUUUCCUUUUUUACUUUCUUAAAUUUAAUUUAAUUAAUUAAUUAAUUAAUUAUUAUUAUACUUUAAGUUUUAGGGUACAUGUGCACAAUGUGCAGGUUAGUUACAUAUCUAUACAUGUGACAUGCUGGUGCGCAGCACCCACUAACUCGUCAUCUAGCAUUAGGUAUAUCUUCCAAUGCUAUCCCUCCCCCCUCCCCCCACCCCACAACAGUCCCCAGAGUGUGAUGUUCCCCUUCCUGUGUCCAUGUGUUCUCAUUGUUCAAUUCCCACCUAUGAGUGAGAAUAUGUGGUGUUUGGUUUUUUUGUUCUUGCAAUAGUUUACUGAGAAUGAUGAUUUCCAAUCUCAUCCAUGUCCCUACAAAGGACAUGAACUCAUCAUUUUUUAUAGCUGCAUAAUAUUUCAUGGUGUAUAUGUGCCACAUUUUCUUAAUCCAGUCUAUCAUUGUUGGACAUUUGGCUUGGUUCCAAGUCUUUGCUAUUGUGAAUAAUGCCACAAUAAACAUACGUGUGCAUGUGUCUUUAUAGCAG